AGAGUUUGAUCCUGGCUCAGGACGAACGCUGGCGGCGCGCCUAACACAUGCAAGUCGAACGAGCGAGAGAGAGCUUGCUUUCUCGAGCGAGUGGCGAACGGGUGAGUAACGCGUGAGGAACCUGCCUCAAAGAGGGGGACAACAGUUGGAAACGACUGCUAAUACCGCAUGAGCCCACGGGUCGGCAUCGACCAGAGGGAAAAGGAGCAAUCCGCUUUGAGAUGGCCUCGCGUCCGAUUAGCUAGUUGGUGAGGUAACGGCCCACCAAGGCAACGAUCGGUAGCCGGACUGAGAGGUUGAACGGCCACAUUGGGACUGAGACACGGCCCAGACUCCUACGGGAGGCAGCAGUGGGGAAUAUUGCACAAUGGGGGAAACCCUGAUGCAGCGACGCCGCGUGGAGGAAGAAGGUCUUCGGGUUGUAAACUCCUGUUGUUGAGGAAGAUAAUGACGGUACUCAACAAGGAAGUGACGGCUAACUACGUGCCAGCAGCCGCAGUAAAACGUAGGUCACAAGCGUUGUCCGGAAUUACUGGGUGUAAAGGGAGCGCAGGCGGGAAGACAAGUUGGAAGUGAAAUCCAUGGGCUCAACCCAUGAACUGCUUUCAAAACUGUUUUUCUUGAGUAGUGCAGAGGUAGGCGGAAUUCCCGGUGUAGCGGUGGAAUGCGUAGAUAUCGGGAGGAACACCAGUGGCGAAGGCGGCCUACUGGGCACCAACUGACGCUGAGGCUCGAAAGUGUGGGUAGCAAACAGGAUUAGAUACCCUGGUAGUCCACACCGUAAACGAUGAUUACUAGGUGUUGGAGGAUUGACCCCUUCAGUGCCGCAGUUAACACAAUAAGUAAUCCACCUGGGGAGUACGACCGCAAGGUUGAAACUCAAAGGAAUUGACGGGGGCCCGCACAAGCAGUGGAGUAUGUGGUUUAAUUCGACGCAACGCGAAGAACCUUACCAAGUCUUGACAUCCUGCGACGAUGCUGGAAACAGUAUUUUCCUUCGGGACGCAGAGACAGGUGGUGCAUGGUUGUCGUCAGCUCGUGUCGUGAGAUGUUGGGUUAAGUCCCGCAACGAGCGCAACCCUUAUGGUCAGUUACUACGCAAGAGGACUCUGGCCAGACUGCCGUUGACAAAACGGAGGAAGGUGGGGAUGACGUCAAAUCAUCAUGCCCUUUAUGACUUGGGCUACACACGUACUACAAUGGCGUUAAACAAAGAGAAGCAAGACCGCGAGGUGGAG
rnacentral:rRNA from 1 species